UACUUGUUUUCUUAGUGGAUUGGGGUGAUGGACGAUGUCUGGAUCUUUCUAUAGGGAUUGUCUGUAGCUGCAUGAAUUCUGCGAAGAUCUGGUUUAUGAUAUUUUUAUCCGAGGAUGCGAUGAAUGUCCAGUUCUCUUCCUGUUGUAGGUUGGAGUCUUUUUGUUGCAAAUUAUGCUGAAUUUGACCUGGUUUGUGUUGUAGCGUAUCAACCCAUCUUAACUAACUUUUAGGGGAAUGAUUUGACUUUGGCAAGCUUUUACUUUUUGCUUCUCAUGGGGGUAUUGUUGGUGUAAAUGGUUUAUUUUGGGUGCUGGUUCAAGUCUCUCUCUUCGAUGAUGCCGUGUUCUCAUCUUGCAUUGCGAACUUCAGUGGAUAAAUGUAAAUUAUUACAAUUGAGUCUUGUGUCCAAGGCUAAGUCCUGUUGUUGCUUAGCUCGGUCAUUUGGGGCUUUUACUUUUUGCUUCUUCUGGAUGUAUUUUUGGUAUAAAUGGUUUAUUUUGGGUAGUAGUCCCAUUCGUUCUCUUCGAUGAUGUCAUGCUCUCAUCUUUUUCUGUGACCUUCACUGGAUAAAACUACAACUGAGCCCUAUUUCAAAGCUAAGCCAAGUUCCUUUGCUUGGUCAUUUGAUGGCACACAUUGAUGGCAGUGUUUGACUUAUCGGAUACUUCUGUCUUAUUCUAGUGAGAUGGGAGACUGAUUGCAGAUAUUCGCUAAAAUCACAACAGAUUAUCCGUUUCUACUUUCAAUUGGUUUGGUGCAUUCCAUAAUAGCUCUGUCCGGAUUCUCUUUUUGAAUAUCUAAUUGAUGUGAAUUUGCCUGGCAAUUACUCUUAUACUGCUUGUGUGUUGGAAUCGGAAGUUACUUGGCCAGGAGCUCGCCCGAUCCCUCUAGCACGGAUUUACCCCUCAAUUCUCUUUGAAACUAAUGUUCUAUUAUCAUCAUUUUUCUGAGGAAGCUGGCUCUAGUUUUUUAAACCAGAGCCACGCCUCAAAGAUGACUCAUCAUGGGCGUACCUCAGCAUGCGUCUCAAGUGACAUUCAGAAUUAGCAGCCCACCACCUUUCCUUAAUUUACCGUCAGCAAAUGAUACCUGUCCAAAUCACGACUCUCCUUGGGAUUUAUUAUUAUCAACAGUCAAUCCAAAGUUGGUGGAUCUUUCCCUAUAAAUAACCGUCCUUUUUCGGUCUGAUUUUGUGAAGCAUCUGGUUGCAGACCCCCUGCUGCGGAGACUCUGGAGGGUUUCACUUGGCCUGCUAUGCCUAUGGUUAUCGAAAUUAAUUCGGUCUACGCCUCAUCCUCAAUCGAUCUUUCUGUUACUGUUUUAGCAGCUUCUGGAUUCUUGUUAUUUGGUAAAUUGGCAGUGGCUUCUUUCCUCUUGGAUCAUCACUUUUGUCUGAGGAUGUCGUUGUGGGAACUGGGAAGUGUUCAGCUCCUCCUCUGAUCUUUUAUUGAUCGAUUGUCUGAUAGAUCUAUCCGUUUAAUCGUUUUACGAGCUGUUUCUUUCCCCUUGGAGUGAAACAGUUUGUCUGAGGAUGUCAGGGACAAUGAAUACAGGAACACCAGUCUUGUUUCGUGAAACUAGGUGCUUGGGCUUUUGGAGGAUUGAUGAUACUUUUGCUGUCUUUUUUCUGGUUGAGACAAUGACCAAGUAGUCUUUGAUCACAUCUUAGAGCUGGUGAUAGACUGAUGAAAUUUACUGGUUUUGAUGGGAAUUUGUUCUUCAGCAUUUUUUAUCUUGGGGAGUUGAUUAUCAUCUAGUCUUGAUUCUCUCACAGGUUGGAGUUUUGCUAGACUUGACAAGUGGUCUUCUGCUGCGAGCUGAUAAUUAUCUGAAAUUGGAUAAGCUCUAUUGUCUCUCGAGGCAGUUAUCGGUUUGAAUGAAAUUUGUUCUCCAGUCUCAUAAUUUUCCAAUUGAUGUGAAAACCGACUCUCAUUCCUUUGGAGGUUGAAAGCAGGUGUCUCCUUCCUAGAAAUAGUCCCUCCCUCGGGUCCUCAUCCUUCAGUCUUAUCAGGCAUCUAUGAUUGUGCAUGCGUUCCUCACUCAGCUGACCCCCUUUGCGAAGUACUCUUCAGAGGAGACAUCGUUCCCAAAAGCGCACUUGAUCCUUCUUCUAUUCUUUUUGUCUCUUCAUUGAUUGUUAAAUCGGUCUGAUUCUGUUUAUGCUAUGUUUGUUUUCCAAAGGUCAAGCCUCUCCUCCCCAGGACUCUGUCAUGUUGUGGGCAUCGUUAGGGUUUGCGCUCCUCUAAUCAUUGAUUGAACCAAGUUCAAUUGUAUAAUGAGCUGUUUCCGGUAUUUACAAUUCCGUGAAUUGGCAUGGUUUCUUUCUUCUUGGAGCAAUUGUUUUCUCUGAGGAUGAUGUGCAACUGAUCAGUUGGUUACAUAGAAUACGACAUUUGGGCUUUUUGGAGGACUAAUGAUCUAUUCUUGCACUGUUUGGUUGAGCUGAUGAUCUAGAAGUCUAUCUUUAGGACAAGCGAUGGACUGAAAUUUUGACCUUCUAGGCUUCUUUUACAGGUUGAAAGUCUGUCGCAUUUUCUUUGGGGCUGAGUUGCUAAUUGUUUGAAAGUAGAUGAGCUCAUGCUUCUUGGAUUUUAGGCCAUCAUUGGUUUGAAUGGAACUUGGUCCGUUACUUCUUUUAUUUUCUAGUUAAUUUGGAAGAUCAGAUCUAGUUCUCUUACCUUUGCAGAUCAGAGUUUGGUCGAGGCAAUACUUUACCUGGCCAAGUUCGAUAUGGAGUGUCUGGGAUCAGUGAUGUUCUUUCUUGCUGCAUAUGCAUCAAUUCCUAAUCUGUUUUCUGCUUCCCUUAUCUUCUAGUCAAGGGGAACGAUCAGAUGUUCUCUUUCCUUCGCAGGUCAGAGUUCAGUCAAGGCAACACUUUGCCUCAUCAAUUUCAAUAUGGAGUGUCUGUGAUUAGUAAUGGUUCGUUCUUGCUGCAUAAGUAUCAAUUCCUUGGACAAGCAGAGUUCUUUCUUAUCUGGAAAGAUCCACACAAGUUCUAGCUUGUUUCUCUUUAUUCUUAUCUGUGUGCUACGAUCCCUAAAUGGAUCUCUCUGGUAAAUCGCAGAGAUAACAUAUGUGAGAGUCAUACGCCCUGCUCUUUUUCUAUCCUGGAACUGGGUCCAGGCAUUACCUAGUUUGCUUGACCUUUCUUCUUACAUGACUUUUUAUGUUUUCUUUUGGUACAGAACAAGAGCUGAUUUCUUGUGUUCUUUUGGUGCCAGAGGUUGUUUGAGUUGGUUGGACUCUGUUAAUGGCCAUAUAAAUGUCUACAUUGUAGGUUUUCUUUGGUUAUUGGGACUGUGAAGGGUUAUUGCAGACAGAAUUGGUUUUAAUUCGGUGCAUACUGGUGGUGUCUUAUUUGGAAUGAUGUACUUUAGACAUCUAUUACGAUUCGCAUUAUUAAUCUAUCUUAUCCUUUUCUAUUUCGUAACAGCUGAUGAGCCGAUUACUUUCUCGAUCUAAUUUCUGAAACAUCUGGCUUGUUGCUGAAGCUUGAUUUCUUCUCUUCGCGUUGCCUCUUUGGGACUUGGCCAUGGUCAUCAACAUCAUUAGGUUUAUUGUCGUCCUUUGACAAUUUAUUAAUUGAUUGGUUAGUCAUCCUAUUUAGUUGUUUUAUGAGCAGAUUCUGGAUCCAUUAUUUUGUGGAUUGGAAGUACCUUCUUCUCUGAUGGACCAAUCUCUACUUCUGAGGAUGUCAUGUAAGGAGCAGUAAAGAUGAUGAGUGUGGUCGAUUAUUGCAUACAUUAAAGUGUUGAAGCUUUUUUUGGGACUGACAAUUUCUUUGCAGUAUAAUGUUGGGUUGGUGGACUAGGAGCACGGGGUGAUGAACUGAAAUUUUUAAUAAUUUCCUGCAUGGACACUUAUGUUUCCUUUUUAAAUUCAUUCUUUCGUUGAUUAUUUUUUAGUAGUGGCAAGAAUUGAGAUAAUCGUCUAGUUCUAAUUGCUUUAGGUUGAAGGUUUUUCUGAAUUUGAGAAGCGCUGAUCCUUUGCCUUUUUUGCAAGGCUGAGACCAGGUUUUGUUUGAAAUUGGAUAAGCGCUCAUUUAUUGAAUUCUGGACAGUAAAUGGUUCCAAUAUUAUUGACUCUGGUUUCUUUAUUUUUUAUUUAAGCAAGGGGGUCCCUAUUCAGUUCUCUUUCUUUCGUAGGUCAGAAAUUGGUGAAGCAAAGACCUUACCCCUUAUUUAAAUAUGGGGCAUUCUUUAAUCUGUGAUGGUUCUUUAUAGUUGGAUAUUAGAGGAAUGGUUUGAUUGGACUAGAUCCUUAAUUCUUUAUAGUUGGAUAUUAGAGGAAUGGUUUAGAUGAUUCCACUUGUUGGUAAAACUAAGUUGUCCUAAUGAUAUUCCGUCCAAUUCUAGCUCUUUCUUUGCCAUAGAAACCAGGAAAGAGGAUCCUUGUGCUCAUACUAGGAGAAGGAAAUCCUCAUAAAGAUGUAUUUCCUUCGCCAGAUUAAAUGUAAUUAGCUUUUUCCCCUCUCCAAGUUGAUGAAGAGGAAUGCCGCUGCAAGCAUUUUACGUAUAGAUCAAUUUCCCUUUCACUUUUCCCUUACGAUUGUCGAUUUGUAAGGGUGGCUGGCUUAUUGUUAUUAGCAUUUACCUCAGUAAUGAAUGGUCCUCGAAAUAGCGUAUACCAGGUGAUCUUCACGAGUUUUGAUACCUCAUCUUGCAUGUGUUAAGCUUUUAGCUAGCGUUCCAUCUGAACCAAGAUCAAACUCUUCUUUUGACUAUGAUUGGGCCCUACAGAGGUUCAGGUUCGGUGAACCGGCCGUAUUACUUUCCAACCUUCUAUAUGUGGGCCUUCCUUCUUCUUCUUUUUUUAUGAGACAAAUCAAAUUGAUGGCAAUGGAAAAAACAGGACGUGCCCUUUUAUUAAUAGUACUCGUCACUAAAAAUGCUUUCUCUCA